rnacentral:rRNA from 1 species
AGCGUAUACUAAAAUUGUUGCGGUUAAAAAGCUCGUAGUUGCAUUUGUGCUGCGCGCUGUCGGUGCACCGCAUCCGCGGUGAUACUGACACGUCUGCGGAGCAUAUCGUCGGUGAGCCGGCGGUCAAACGCCGGUUCAAUAUCAAAAUCCUAUCGCGAUGCUCUUCGGUGAGUGUCGAGGUGGGCCGACAAUUUUACUUUGAACAAAUUAGAGUGCUCAAAGCGGGCUCCAAAUGCUGCUUGAAUAUUUCGUGCAUGGAAUAAUAGAAUAUGAUCUCGGUUCUAUUUUGUUGGUUUUCAGAACUCCGAGGUAAUGAUUAAUAGGGAUAACUGGGGGCAUUCGUAUUGCGACGUUAGAGGUGAAAUUCUUGGAUCGUCGCAAGACGAACAUCAGCGAAAGCAUUUGCCAAAGGUGUUUUCAUCAAUCAAGAACGAAAGUUAGAGGUUCGAAGGCGAUUAGAUACCGCCCUAGUUCUAACCGUAAAUAUGUCAUCUAGCGAUCCGCCGACGUUACUACAAUGGCUCGGCGGGCAGCUUCCGGGAAACCAAAGAUUUUGGACUCCGG